UUAAAUUCGGUACUGUGCAUGUGC
rnacentral:siRNA from 1 species